AUUGAACGCUGGCGGCAGGCCUAACACAUGCAAGUCGAACGAGUGGCGGACGGGUGAGUAAUGUCUGGGAAACUGCCUGAUGGAGGGGUAUAACUACUGGAAACGGUAGCUACUACCGCAUACCAUCCGCUCUGCCCUGAUGGAAUUAGCUAGUAGGUGGGGUAAAGGCUCACCUAGGCGACGAUCCCUAGCUGGUCUGAGAGGAUGACCAGCCACACUGGAACUGAGACACGGUCCAGACUCCUACGGGAGGCAGCAGUGGGGAAUAUUGCACAAUGGGCGCAAGCCUGAUGCAGCCAUGCCGCGUGUAUGAAGAAGGCCUUCGGGUUGUAAAGUACUUUCAGCGGGGAGGCGUUACCCGCAGAAGAAGCACCGGCUAACUCCGUGCCAGCAGCCGCGGUAAUUC
rnacentral:rRNA from 1 species